GAGGGAGCUCCCCUCGCCCUCCCUCUCCACCUCCAGCGCCGCCCCAGAAGGGGUUGGGAUGGUCUGGGUUGGGGCCUUAUCCCGGAGGGCAGAAGCAGCAGAGGCCCGGGGACAACGAUGGGAACCCAGGCUUCUCCCCGUCCAGCCCUCCGACCCCACUCCCGCUUCCCCCCAGACUCGUUUUUACAGUCUUCCUCUCUGACUCCCGUUGACCCUCUCCGGAGUGACCGACCCCCUUCACGGACUUGAGGCCCGGAGCACAGACAGAUUGGGUCUGGGAUGGAGUCGUCCCCACCACCCAAGGGGGGAAUUUCCCACUCCCUGUCACCCCCCCACUCCCCACCUCCACCCCUGAAGCGUGCUCCCCCGUCCAGACUCUUGGGGGAGAGACCCAAACUUUUGAUUGGAUGAAGCUCAAGAGAGGCCCGACAGGAGCAGCCUGAAACGGAGCCUAGGACGCGCUGGUGGAAGCCGGGACAUUAUCCACCUGCAUGGUCAGGCCGGUUGGAGCUGCCCCGUGUCCAGCGACUCUCCCAGCACCUCCAGGAUCCACUUCGAGAACCAGCAGAGGAAGGGGAAGAAGCAGGGAGGGAGAGAGUUGGGGAAGAGAGAGGAACUGAGCCUCCUAGUAUCCUUCCUCCCUCCCUCCGGCCUCCUCUUUUCCCACCAGAACUCUCACUCCCAUGCUGGGGUCCCAAUUCCCCGACCCCUUUGCCACGAGCCUCGUUCAGCCGGGAAGUUCCAUUCAUCUCCUCGCCCCCAUGAAACCGUAUUGUGGGCGGGUGAGUUAUCUGCAAGAACCUCAUACACUCGCCUUAUACAUGUGACCGAGAAGCGGCUUCUAUGGCGGAUCAGACGCGAACUGCCGAGAGAGGGAGAGGCUCCGCGGAGAGGGUCGAGCCCGGUCCGGGCGCUAUAAAUCUUCAAAAUCAUCCUGCUUGUGUCUCGGGCUUAGCGCUGCCCCUAUAUAUAUCUCCCAGGCCUCUUUGACCAACCCCCCAACACACACACACAUACACACACAUCACACUCACACACAUAUCCCGCCCAGAAAUGGGAAUGGGCCCAUCUCCCCCUCCAGCCCCUUCGGCAUUGCCGGGCCCAGCGGCCCCUCCCGCCAGCCGGCAAAAGCUCUCCCCCCUUCCGGGCCUCGAAGAGGGCCAGGGUGGGUGGGGUUUCUGGGAGGGAGUCGGUUGGAAUUAAAGUUCGGUUUGAAUUCA